GGAUUAGAUACCCUGGUAGUCCACGCCGUAAACGAUGAUAACUAGCUGUUCGGGCUCUACGAGCUUGAGUGGCGCAGCUAACGCAUUAAGUUAUCCGCCUGGGGAGUACGGUCGCAAGAUUAAAACUCAAAGGAAUUGACGGGGGCCUGCACAAGCGGUGGAGCAUGUGGUUUAAUUCGAAGCAACGCGCAGAACCUUACCAGCGUUUGACAUCCUAAUCGCGGUUUUCAGAGAUGAUUACCUUCAGUUCGGCUGGAUUAGUGACAGGUGCUGCAUGGCUGUCGUCAGCUCGUGCCG
rnacentral:rRNA from 1 species